ensembl:lncRNA
GUGUGUGUUUCAUGUGGUAUCAGUUUAGAUGAAAAUAUUUUUGAUCUUUACUUUGCCAGAUGUUCAUAGUAUGUGAUCAUAAUAUUGUUGAAAAGUCUUUUCUCAUCCACUGUUAUAGAUACUGGAAUUUCCUGACUCAGUAUUUACCUUCCGCUGGAGUCUUUAUACUGAAAGACCCUGCACAGAUCUUUGAUUCUCAUCACACACAAAGAAGCCUCUACUCUGCCCUAACCACCCCUUCUGAGGACCCAACCCUAGCCUUGUUCCAUGUUCUAGACAGAAUGCUUCUGGUACUGGAGGGCUGCCAGAAUGACUGAGGAUAAAUUGACACACAGAUUG